rnacentral:misc_RNA from 1 species
GGAAAAUUUAGUUCAGCUGCAGUGGAGAAAGCUAACAGCAUAGAGUUGGAAGCUACCAAGGCUUUAAUAAAAUGUGUGGAAGAUCACAAGCUUGAACAAGAAUUUACUUUGGAAGGACUCAAACAACGGGUGACUGAGUUGGAGCAGGCCAAGGCAAAAAAGAAAAUAGGCACAACUCCUGAGAGCAAGCCUUCAAAAAAGCGGGGUCGUGGAGGUGGCACUGGCAGGUCCAGUGGCCCAUCCACCUCUCGGCCUGUUAAAUCUGGAAGAUCGUCAAAUGC